UACAGAGGUCUCAAGCGUUGUUCGGAUUCAUUGGGCGUAAAGGGUGCGUAGGCGGCGCGGUAAGUCGGGUGUGAAAUCUUGGAGCUUAACUCCGAAACUGCAUUCGAUACUGCCGUGCUUGAGGACUGGAGAGGAGACUGGAAUUUACGGUGUAGCGGUGAAAUGCGUAGAUAUCGUAAGGAAGACCAGUGGUGAAGGCGGGUCUCUGGACAGUUCCUGACGCUGAGGCACGAAGGCCAGGGGAGCAAACGGG
rnacentral:rRNA from 1 species